rnacentral:lncRNA from 10 species
UUGCCAUCAGAACUUAUAAACAAAAAACAUUAGUCAUGCAUACAUAUAUAUGUAUAUCCAUUUAUUUAUAAGGUUUAAACAAUUAUGUAUGAAAAUUAAAAGAAAUUAAAAGAGAAUUAAAGAUGAUGCUUAGUAUCAAUGUUAUAAUAAGUAAAAGCAUUAAGUUAAAUCAACACAUCACUAUAACAUACUGGGAGUAUAUGAAAUUAAAUAAAAAUAUGUUUCAUUUUCAAGAAAAGCUUAUGAAUACCAGAUUGAGCUAUAAAGUUUUGCUUCUGAAGUCAAAUUGAUUAAAAUAAAAACUAACUUGUUUUCAUCUUCUUUACAGCCUAAGCUUGUACAUGGCUGGGAGAGAUUAUCUUAAUCUUUUUCUUUAGUUUAUUAAGGAUAGAUCUAACAUGAUUAUGUCAAAGAUUGAUUGACUUUGAGCACUGAAAGGUAUUUUGGAGGUCAUUUAGUCAAUGAUAUUUUCCUAUAUCUGGAAAUCUCUUUAUGAACUUGUUGGGGAACAGUGAAAACUUAAAAUCUUAGCCAAGAAGUAUAAUUAGUAAAGUUAUGAAUUGUUGUCCUCAGAAAGUGUGGAGGAUAUUAAGAUUCCCAUCAAAGUAGAGCUAAAUAUACUUUCUUUCCCAUAGUCUCGCCCAGUGGAAGUUGGAAUCUAGAUUUCAAAAGCUGUCCAUAACUCUCAAAAGCCUCUAGAUACUAUAUUAAAAUAAUGUUCUUCUCUAGUCUAUGUUGAAACUACUUAUUAUUAUAGAUAUAAAUAGAAAAUAGCAGGGAAUAAGAGCCACUAAUUAAAAUAUUUGGUUGCUUCUUUUUGUAACUUUAUUUGAUUUAAAAAACAAAAAUUAGCUAUGGGGACAGUUUAGUGUAGGAGUUAAUUGUACAGAUUCUUUAGUCAGACUGCCUGUUUUCAACCAUUGGACAAAUUACUUAAUGUAUUUGAACUACAGUUUCCUCACUUGUAAAACAGGAAAAAUAACAGAUCAAUAUACUCCAGUGCUGAGAAGGUUAAAAAUAUUACCUACCCCACAGGUUUGCAAGUGUGAUGCUUAAAGCAAUGAUUGCAAAAUGUUAAGUCCUCACAAACUGUUAGUUAAUAUUGUUUUUGAGGUGGUGGUUGUUAUUGCUGUGUUUGAAGUCAAUGAUUAAUGAAACUAAACCCCUUUUGUCCACCUUAUAUAAAUGUAAUAUGUCCACUGACAGUGAAUGCAUAGUGAAAAGAGCUGCACCAUGUCAAACUAAAAGAUCUAGAUCACCCUUGUCAGUUACUUGCUUGGCAAUUCAACCUGUCUGAGCCUGGAACUUCCCAUUUUAUAAUGGUGAUAGCAUUGCCUGGCCCACCUUGCUCAACUAAGAUACUAAGAGGAUCAAAUGAGACAUCUUCGAAAGCUUCUUGUAAAAUUUAAAGGACUACAUAACUCUGUUACCGAUUGUUUGGAGUUAGUAACAAUAAGCCAAGGACUCACAUAUGAAACAUUGAGUGACAACUGACAAUCUGCAAGAAAAUCUCUUGCCUACAUCGACUUUUCAUGUUCAGAUUACUGGUUUUGUUGUUGUUGUUGUUGUUGAAAAUAAAAUCCAAAUCUAACUAGAUUCAUAACAUACAACUAUAUUAUCAGUUUUCUAACAAAUAUAGCAUGAGUAAAAAUAAUGAAAAGGAGAUAAAUUGUCCAUUAAUAUGUUUACAUAAAGCAUGAGCUUUUUUUUUCCUGAAUGGGUGCUUCAUCAGCAACAUAAAAAGUUAAAAUUAGCUUAUGCUAAUGUAUUAAAAUCUUACUAAGUUUUAUUGACAUUUGAAGCAAAAGAAUUGCAUUGAGUGUAUUUACUGGUAUGCUUAUAAAACAUACAUCUGUAAUAAAAUGCCAUUUAGAAUAUAUUUUGAAGGAUCUUUAACUAUGACUUACAGUGUCUCCACAUGAUAGUUCCCCCAUGUGACAAAAAACAUCAAAAUAUCAACCUAAAAUAUGGAAACAAAAAUACUUAAACUGGUUUGGCCACAUUUAAGGAACCAUUAAUGAUACUUCACUUGAGAAGCAUCAAUACCCUAUUGAAAAAAUUGGAAAGUAAAGCAAUAUUUGUUCCAGUGGAAUGAUUCUAAUGCUUUGUAGUUAAAACAAAAACAAAAAACAGGAGACCUUACCUCUAAAUAACCUUUGUGGUUUACAAAGUACUUUCACAGGGGUUAUUCCUUAUGGUUUUCUAUCAGGUAGAUAGUAUGUUGCUGUGUUUGCACAUGAGGACCUGCAGCCCAGAGCAGUGAGGGGCUCACACAUUAAUCAGGGUCUUCACUUGCCUCAUUGACCCAUUGCAGAUCACCUAACCCAAACCCACAACUCUUUCCUGAAGAUAUCAUUUUUUUUUCCUUUACGUGUCACGAGAAUCAACAGUUGGUGUUUUUUGUUAUAACACCUAGUAGAGUGGAAAGAAAUUAGAAGAUAAAUAUCUGCAACAUUAUAGAUAUGUAAAUUGGGAGAAUUCACAUCAUUUCCCUAAACUUUACUUUUCUUGUCUGUAAAAAUAAGGUAAUACAAAUAGCAACUUAUAUAGGGUUUUGUAGGGUUUUUGGUAAGGAUCAAAAGAGUUAACACUUACGAAAGCAUUUUAUGUAUAGUAAUAUAUAAUGUACAUUUAAUUUUCUGUCUUUAUUAUCAGGUUCUCUAUUUGAAUUAUAUGAAUUUUAAACAUUCUUAAAAUAAGAAAAUACCACAAAGGAGAUAAGAGCAUGAGUGGUACUCAUAAUGGUAUUCUAGCUUUUGGCCCUGCUGUGGACAAAUUGCUGAACGUCUCUAAACCUUAGUUUUCUCUCCUGAAAAUAAAGCAAUUACAGAGAUUAAAUGUGAUGAUAUCUAUAAAGGACAUAUUACAGUGAUUGAUACAUGGUGAUAUGGUUUGGCUGUGUCUCCACACAAAUCUCGUCUUGAAUUGCAGCUCCCAUAAUUCCCACCUGUUGUGGGAGGGACCCUGUGGGAGAUAAUUGAAUCACGGGGGCAGUUUCCCCCAUACUGUUCUCAUGGUAGUGAGUAAGUCUCACCAGAUCUGAUGGUUUUAUAAGGGGAAACCCCUUUGGCUUGGUUCUUAUUCUUUCUUUUGUCUGCUGCCAUGUCAGAUGUGCCUUUUGCCUUUUGCCAUAAUUGUGAGGCCUCCUCAGCCGUGUGGCACUGUGAGUCCAUUAAGCCUUCUUUCUCUUUAUAAAUUACCCAGUCUUGAGUAUGUCUUUAUCAGCAGUGUAAAAACGGAUGAACAUACACCGUAAAUGUGACUUUUAUCAUUCAUUUAAGCAUCCUGUUUAUAAAAAUGUAAAUAAUCCAUUUUCACAUAUGCUGUGUUUUCGAUAAAAUAACUUGCUUAAAUCCAAUCCUGGCAUCAUAGAUAAUUUAAGCCAUGGUUUUCUGAUCCCGUCCUCUUUUGUGACUCCAGUCCCACAGACAGGAACCAAAGCCAGCAGAACAAAGCAGCCCCAGAUGUGUUCUACUCUAUUAUCUGAAGUAAAUGAAAAUCAACCCUGAGGAAUGUGUAGACGGAAGCAGUUCAUCCUGGGAGGUGAGAAUGAGCAUUGAAAGAGCCAUCCGUGAAACCGUAAGGCUGGGAAAGAGAAGUGAAGGGGCACAUGGAAGUGUUCAUCUCUGGGGCAGGGAAAAACAAUCCGGAGAAGAUGAGUCACACCUCAUUUGUAACCCAUGAAUGAAAAUCAAUACUGUUACUUAUCAUAAAUUACACUGAACAUAGUGCUUACACUUGAGUAUCAAUGCAGUAAAACCACUAUGAGCCAAUUGAUUGACUUUUCUAGAUCCCAAUUCUAUCAUUCAUCUUCUGGUAUUCAUCUUCUGGCUUAGCUACUAUUUCCUGGCACAGAUUCUUAAUAAAGAUCCUUUCUCCUUGGUCCCAG